UUGUAAAGAAAUAUGUGGAUUGUAAAGGUUAUCUUUAUCUUUGAAAGGUAUCAAUUCAAGUAUAGUAAAUUGAGAAAUUCUUGAUUGAGGUAUACCGGUAGAGUGGAUGUAGGCAAUUGAGAUCAAACCACUAUAAAUAAAAUUGUACAAGCUUUUCUUCCCUUUCGUCAUUAUUUAGAAAAGUUUACAAAUAAUUUUAAAAU
rnacentral:lncRNA from 1 species